GACGAACGCUGGCGGCGUGCUUAACACAUGCAAGUCGAACGGAAAGGCCCUGCUUUUGUGGGGUGCUCGAGUGGCGAACGGGUGAGUAACACGUGAGUAACCUGCCCUUGACUUUGGGAUAACUUCAGGAAACUGGGGCUAAUACCGGAUAGGAGCUCCUGCUGCAUGGGGGGGGUUGGAGAGUUUCGGCGGUUGUGGAUGGACUCGCGGCUUAUCAGCUUGUUGGUGGGGUAGUGGCUUACCAAGGCUUUGACGGGUAGCCGGCCUGAGAGGGUGACCGGCCACAUUGGGACUGAGAUACGGCCCAGACUCCUACGGGAGGCAGCAGUGGGGAAUAUUGCACAAUGGGCGGAAGCCUGAUGCAGCAACGCCGCGUGCGGGAUGACGGCCUUCGGGUUGUAAACCGCUUUCGCCUGUGACGAAGCGUGAGUGACGGUAAUGGGUAAAGAAGCACCGGCUAACUACGUG
rnacentral:rRNA from 1 species